rnacentral:rRNA from 1 species
GACGAACACUGGCGGCGUGCCUAAUACAUGCAAGUCGAACGAACCGCGACUGAGUGCUUGCACUUGGUCAAGGUGAGUGGCGAACGGGUGAGUAACACGUGGGUAACCUACCUCAUAGUGGGGGAUAACAGUCGGAAACGACUGCUAAUACCGCAUAGGACAUGGAAUCACAUGAUUCUGUGAGGAAAGGUGGCGCAAGCUAUCGCUAAGAGAUGGACCCGCGGUGCAUUAGCUAGUUGGUAGGGUAAGGGCCUACCAAGGCGAUGAUGCAUAGCCGACCUGAGAGGGUGAUCGGCCACAUUGGGACUGAGACACGGCCCAAACUCCUACGGGAGGCAGCAGUAGGGAAUCUUCCGCAAUGGACGCAAGUCUGACGGAACAACGCCGCGUGAGUGAAGAAGGUCUUCGGAUCGUAAAGCUCUGUUGUUAGAGAAGAACAGCGCAUAGAGUAACUGUUAUGCGUGUGACGGUAGCUAACCAGAAAGCCACGGCUAACUACGUG